AACGAACGCUGGCGGCAUGCCUAACACAUGCAAGUCGAACGAGACCUUCGGGUCUAGUGGCGCACGGGUGCGUAACGCGUGGGAACCUGCCCUUAGGUUCGGAAUAACUCCCCGAAAGGGGUGCUAAUACCGGAUAAUGUCUUCGGACCAAAGAUUUAUCGCCUUUGGAUGGGCCCGCGUUGGAUUAGCUAGUUGGUAGGGUAAAAGCCUACCAAGGCGACGAUCCAUAGCUUGUCUGAGAGGCUGAUCAGCCACACUGGGACUGAGACACGGCCCAGACUCCUACGGGAGGCAGCAGUGGGGAAUAUUGGACAAUGGGCGAAAGCCUGAUCCAGCAAUGCCGCGUGAGUGAUGAAGGCCUUAGGGUUGUAAAGCUCUUUUACCCGGGAUGAUAAUGACAGUACCGGGAGAAUAAGCUCCGGCUAACUCCGUG
rnacentral:rRNA from 1 species